rnacentral:rRNA from 1 species
AUUGAACGCUGGCGGCAGGCCUAACACACGCAAGUCGAGCGGGGUUUUCGGACCUAGCGGCGGACGGGUGAGUAAUGCGUAGGAAGCUGCCCGAUAGAGGGGGAUACCAGUUGGAAACGACUGUUAAUACCGCAUAAUGUCUACGGACCAAAGUGUGGGACCUUCGGGCCACAUGCUAUCGGAUGCGCCUACGUGGGAUUAGCUAGUUGGUGAGGUAAUGGCUCACCAAGGCGACGAUCUCUAGCUGGUUUGAGAGGAUGAUCAGCCACACGGGAACUGGGACACGGGCCAGACGCCUACGGGAGGCAGCAGUGGGGAAUAUUGGACAAUGGGCGCAAGCCUGAUCCAGCCAUGCCGCGUGUGUGAAGAAGGCCUUCGGGUUGUAAAGCACUUUCAGCGAGGAGGAAGGGGUGUGUGUUAAUAGUACACACCUUUGACGUUACUCGCAGAAGAAGCACCGGCUAACUCUGUGCCAGCCGCCGCAGUAAGAC